rnacentral:tRNA from 1 species
AUCCCCGUGACGCAGUGGAUUAGCGUGUCGUUCUUAUACUAUUUGCCCCGUGCGGGAUUAGUAUGGCCAGCGCCUCUUUGAGAGAUGCGAAAGUCGCGAGUUCGAAUCUCGCCGGGGAUA